rnacentral:lncRNA from 1 species
AAAAAAAAAUAAUUGUGGCGAUUAAAAUUUGUCAUUGGCGAAAGAAUUUGGCGAAAGAAAUAUAUAUAACGAUUUAUUUUCAGUCAUCUUGUUUAUUUACUUUUUUCGGGUUUCUCGGACUUUACCCGAUCAGACAAUACUCGGAAUUCACCUUGAACUCGUUAAGAUUUUGUCAGAAAAUCAAUAAUCAGCUGAUUGCAUUUAUAGCUAUCGACAUCAAAGGACUAAUUAAUAAAGGUGUUGAUUGUAUUAUAUGAAAUGAUAUGGUUAAAUGUCGUCCGUCACAUGUCACAAACAGGAUUUUGCCACUUUGCGACGCACGUGUUAAAGCAAAAUUUUGACGCUUCCUCUCGA